CCUACGGGUGGCAGCAGUGAGGAAUAUUGGUCAAUGGGCGGGAGCCUGAACCAGCCAAGCCGCGUGAGGGAAGAAGGUACAGCGUAUCGUAAACCUCUUUUGUCAGGGAACAAAGGCGGGGACUAGUCCCCGGAUGAGGGUACCUGAAGAAAAAGCAUCGGCUAACUCCGUGCCAGCAGCCGCGGUAAUACGGAGGAUGCGAGCGUUAUCCGGAUUUAUUGGGUUUAAAGGGUGCGCAGGCGGCCUGUUAAGUCAGCGGUAAAAGCCCGGGGCUCAACCCCGGCGAGCCGUUGAAACUGGCGGGCUGGAGUUGGAGAGAAGUACGCGGAAUGCGCGGUGUAGCGGUGAAAUGCUUAGAUAUUAGGAGGAACACCAGUGGCGAAGGCGGCUUACUGGACUGUAAAUGACGCUGAGGCUCGAAAGCGUGGGGAGCAAACAGGAUUAGAUACCCUAGUAGUC
rnacentral:rRNA from 1 species